rnacentral:rRNA from 1 species
UACGUAGGGGGCAAGCGUUGUCCGGAAUCAUUGGGCGUAAAGCGCGUGUAGGCGGCUCGAUAAGUCCGCUCUGAAAGUCCAGGGCUCAACCCUGGGAUGCGGGUGGAUACUGUCGGGCUCGAGUCCGGAAGAGGCGAGUGGAAUUCCUGGUGUAGCGGUGAAAUGCGCAGAUAUCAGGAGGAACACCAAUGGCGAAGGCAGCUCACUGGCCCGGUACUGACGCUGAGGUGCGAAAGCGUGGGGAGCAAACAGG